UGAGCAUGCGUCCAUUAGCUUGUUGGUAAGGUAACGGCUUACCAAGGCAACGAUGGGUAGGGGGUCCUGAGAGGGAGAUCCCCCACACUGGUACUGAGACACGGACCAGACUCCUACGGGAGGCAGCAGUUGAGGAAUAUUGGACAAUGGGGCGCAAGCCUGAUCCAGCCAUGCCGCGUGCAGGAUGACGGUCCUAUGGAUUGUAAACUGCUUUUGUACAGGAAGAGACACUGGUUCGUGAACCGGCUUGACGGUACUGUAAGAAUAAGGAUCGGCUAACUCCGUG
rnacentral:rRNA from 1 species